rnacentral:Y_RNA from 1 species
GGCUGGUCCGAAGGUAGUGAGUUGUCUCACUUAAUUGUUCACAGUCAGUUACAGAUUGAAUUCCUUGUUUUACCAUUUUUCCCCCUUCUCACUACUGCACUUGACUAGUCUAAA